rnacentral:rRNA from 1 species
AAAACAUGUCUUUUUGAAAAUAAUUUAAAGUCUAAUCUGCCCACUGAUAAAUUAUUAAAGGGCUGCAGUAUUUUGACUGUACAAAGGUAGCAUAAUCAAUAGUCUCUUAAUUGGUGACUUGUAUGAAAGAUUGGAUGAGAUAUAUACUGUCUCUAAUUAAUUUAUAGAAUUUAAUUUUUUAGUAAAAAAGCUAAAAUAAGUUUAAAAGACGAGAAGACCCUAUAGAGUUUAAUAAUUUAUUUAAUUAUUAUUAAUAUAUAAUUUUUAAAAUUAAAAUUAAAUAGAUUAUUUUGUUGGGGUGAUAGAAAAAUUAAAUUAACUUUUUUUUGUUAUUUACAUUAAUUUAUGAUUAAGUGAUCCAUUUAUAAUGAUUAAAAGAAAAAAUUACCUUAGGGAUAACAGCGUAAUUUUUUUUUUUAGUUCAAAUAGGAAAAAAAGUUUGCGACCUCGAUGUUGGAUUAAGAUAAAAUUUAAAUGCAAAAGUUUAAAAUUUUGAUCUGUUCGAUCAUUAAAAUCUUACAUGA